rnacentral:rRNA from 1 species
UGCCAGCAGCCGCGGUAAUACGGAGGGGGUUAGCGUUGUUCGGAAUCACUGGCGUAAAGCGCACGUAGGCUGACUGGUCAGUUGGGGGUGAAAUCCCGGGGCUCAACCUCGGAACUGCCUUCAAUACUGCCAGUCUUGAGUCCGAGAGAGGUGAGUGGAAUUCCUAGUGUAGAGGUGAAAUUCGUAGAUAUCAGGAGGAACACCGAUGGCGAAGGCAUCUCUCUGGGUCGAUAUUGACGCUGAGGCGCGAAGGCGUGGGUAGCGAACGGGAUUAGAUA